rnacentral:tRNA from 1 species
AGCUCAGUUGGUUAGAGCGCGCGCUUGAUAAGCGUGAGGUCGGAGGUUCAAGUCCUCCCAGGCCCACCAAUUUAUGCUCGCUUUUUUCUUGUUUAAGAGUAUGAAGCUUAUUAAAGCCUCUACAAUCUUUUUUCCUUGUUAAGGAUUUAAUUUUAUUAUCUAAGGAUUGUUUAGUGCAUUUAUUCCGUUAAAUUUGUCAAAGAGGAUUUUAAGAUGUCUUCAAAGAUGUAGACAAAUUUGAAUGAUAGGAAUCGAAAUAGUAUAAGUGAUUCAAGUCGAUGGAUUUUUUGAGGUUGAUUUGAUUUGAGUGAGCAUUAUUUAGGGGCCGUAGCUCAGCUGGGAGAGCACCUGCUUUGCAAGCAGGGGGUCGUCGGUUCGAUCCCGUCCGGCUCCACCAUUAUAUCAUCAUCAUGUUGUAA